UAGGGAAUCUUCGGCAAUGGGGGGAACCCUGACCGAGCAACGCCGCGUGAGUGAAGAAGGUUUUCGGAUCGUAAAGCUCUGUUGUUAAGGAAGAACGAGUGUGAGAAUGGAAAGUUCAUGCUGUGACGGUACUUAACCAGAAAGGGACGGCUAACUAUGUGCCAGCAGCCGCGGUAAUACGUAGGUCCCGAGCGUUGUCCGGAUUUAUUGGGCGUAAAGCGAGCGCAGGCGGUUAGAAAAGUCUGAAGUGAAAGGCAGUGGCUCAACCAUUGUAGGCUUUGGAAACUGUUUAACUUGAGUGCAGAAGGGGCGAGUGGAAUUCCAUGUGUAGCGGUGAAAUGCGUAGAUAUAUGGAGGGACACCGGUGGCGAAAGCGGCUCUCUGGUCUGUAACUGACGCUGAGGCUCGAAAGCGUGGGGAACGAACAGG
rnacentral:rRNA from 1 species